AUCUUUAAUAUGAUGCUGUUCUGUGAUUGGUCGCUUCAGGCAGGUGUGUCUGCUGCUCAAGAGAGGAGCCAAUCAGUAUGCAGCUGAUGAAAAGGGAAACGAUCCACUCAGUAUCGCCGUAGAAACCGCGCACGCUGACAUUGUCACUUUGUUGAGAAUGGCUCGAAUGAAUGAGGAAAUGAGGGAUUCAGAGGGAUUCUUCGGAUCUGUUGGAGACGAUGAAACAUUUCAGGAUAUUUUCCGUGACUUCAGUAACAUGGCGUCACACGACCCCGAGAAACUCUCUCGCCGUCAGUUCCUCCGCGGCUCUGAGGAUGAAGAGGAGAAAAACUAGAGAGGGACCGGGAGGUCAGAGGUCAAGUGAGGUCAAGUGAGGUCAAGUGAGGUCACUAUGGGACAAGGGAAAAUACAAAAGAGGGAAAUCUUAAUGUUGCAACUAGUUAAAAACUAAACGUCUUCUUUGAAUUUCUGAAAGAGAAGCUGGAUGUAACGCUGAGUGUGUGACGGUUAACGCGUGUGUGUGUGUGUGUGUGUGUGUGUGUGUGUGUGUGUGCGACCGGGUCCAGCUCAUUUCAUCCACACUGACUGUUCCCCUCCUGAUUUUAGGCUGUGCUGUUGGUUUUACUAAAGGCUUUUGACCCGUUUUUAUAUCGUGCUGCAGUCAAACACGCUUCUACACUGAACUUUGAAGGAAAUGCACACUUACGGUGAAUAUUUAGGAUAUCGAAGUCAACAUGAAAUCAGAACUGACCCUGUUUACUUUCUUAACGCAUGUGUGUGAAUGAUUCAUCAGUGCAUGCUGUUCUUUAUGCAUUAUCAGAAUGUAUAACCAUCUUUCAUUGUGGCUCACUAGUCCUUAUUUUUCAACUUUCUGUAAUAUAGAGACACUUGAUUAUCCACAGCUUCCUUAUGGAUUAAAUCAACCCAUCUGAUGGGUUUAAGAUCCUGGUUUAUUGAGGAUGUGUCUGAUUAAGAAAGUAAAAUGGAUUGGGGAUGCAGUUUCGUGUUGACUUUAAAUGCACACUUGAAUAAAAAUAAAUACAUAAACA
ensembl:lncRNA